AUAACCUUUGCCUCUUAGUACUAGUACUAUGUUGGCUUUUUUGUUUUCUAUUUUAAUUAUGUUCUAAUUUCACACUUAUAUGUAAACUAUCAGUCAGUCAUUUUAGUUCUGUUAUUGUACUUAAAGAACCAAGGAGCAAAUUUACUGAUUUUCAGGUAAAAUGGAAGAUUAUAUUGAAAUACCUACAAAUCAAGGAAGACUGAGAGGCUUGAUCUUGGAAUCAGAAGGGAUUUCCAAAACAACUUAUUAUUCUUUUCAAGGAAUUCCUUAUGCAAAACCUCCAAUUGGUGAUUUAAGAUUUAAGGAUCCUCAGCCUUUUGGUAAAUGGAAUGGAGUUCAUGAUGCCACAAUGGAAGGAAAUGAUUCACUUCAUAAACAUAUUGUUUUUAAGAAUCUCCUAGGUGAUGAAGAUUGCCUGUAUCUCAAUGUAUACACAACAGAGGUUAGUUUUAUAAAUUCUG
rnacentral:lncRNA from 1 species